rnacentral:rRNA from 1 species
AACAGGAUUAGAUACCCUGGUAGUCCACGCUGUAAACGAUGUCGAUUUGAAGGUUGUUCCCUUGAGGAGUGGCUUUCGGAGCUAACGCGUUAAAUCGACCGCCUGGGGAGUACGGCCGCAAGGUUAAAACUCAAAUGAAUUGACGGGGGCCCGCACAAGCGGUGGAGCAUGUGGUUUAAUUCGAUGCAACGCGAAGAGCCUUACCUACUCUUGACAUCCAGAGAAUUUAGCAGAGAUGCUUUAGUGCCUUCGGGAACUCUGAGACAGGUGCUGCAUGGCUGUCGUCAGCUCGUGUUGUGAAAUGUUGGGUUAAGUCCCGCAACGAGCGCAACCCUUAUCCUUUGUUGCCAGCACGUAAUGGUGGGAACUCAAAGGAGACUGCCGGUGAUAAACCGGAGGAAGGUGGGGAUGACGUCAAGUCAUCAUGGCCCUUACGAGUAGGGCUACACACGUGCUACAAUGGCGUAUACAAAGAGAAGCGAACUUGCGAGAGUAAGCGGAACUCAUAAAGUACGUCGUAGUCCGGAUUGGAGUCUGCAACUCGACUCCAUGAAGUCGGAAUCGCUAGUAAUCGUAGAUCAGAAUGCUACGGUGAAUACGUUCCCGGGCCUUGUACACACCGCCCGUCACACCAUGGGAGUGGGUUGCAAAAGAAGUAGGUAGCUUAACCUUCGGGAGGGCGCUUACCACUUUGUGAUUCAUGACUGGGGUGAAGUCGUAACAAGGUAACCA